ACCUAACGUCGCUGCGCUAACUCGCAAGAGAGGCAGGCGCCUAGGGUGAAACCGGUGAUUGGGGUGAAGUCGUAACAAGGUAGCCGUAGGUGAACCUGCAGAAGGAUCA
rnacentral:rRNA from 1 species